UUUUCAAUAGUGUACAUGCAUAUAACAUUUUCAAUGUUAAGGGGAGGGAAAUA
rnacentral:tRNA from 1 species